GACGAACGCUGGCGGCGUGCCUAAUGCAUGCAAGUCGAACGCAUUUUCUUUCACCGUAGCUUGCUACACCGAAAGAAAAUGAGUGGCGAACGGGUGAGUAACACGUGGGUAACCUGCCCAUCAGCGGGGGAUAACACUUGGAAACAGGUGCUAAUACCGCAUAAUUCCAUUUACCGCAUGGUAGAUGGAUGAAAGGCGCUUUUGCGUCACUGAUGGAUGGACCCGCGGUGCAUUAGCUAGUUGGUGGGGUAACGGCCUACCAAGGCUGCGAUGCAUAGCCGACCUGAGAGGGUGAUCGGCCACACUGGGACUGAGACACGGCCCAGACUCCUACGGGAGGCAGCAGUAGGGAAUCUUCGGCAAUGGACACAAGUCUGACCGAGCAACGCCGCGUGAGUGAAGAAGGUUUUCGGAUCGUAAAACUCUGUUGUUAGAGAAGAACAAGGAUGAGAGUGGAAAGUUCAUCCCUUGACGGUAUCUAACCAGAAAGCCACGGCUAACUACGUG
rnacentral:rRNA from 1 species